rnacentral:rRNA from 1 species
CAGUAGCCACGGGAACACAGAGGGUGCGAGCGUUAAUCGGAUUUACUGGGCGUAAAGCGUGCGUAGGCGGCUUCUUAAGUCGGAUGUGAAAUCCCUGAGCUUAACUUAGGAAUUGCAUUCGAUACUGGGAAGCUAGAGUAUGGGAGAGGAUGGUAGAAUUCCAGGUGUAGCGGUGAAAUGCGUAGAGAUCUGGAGGAAUACCGAUGGCGAAGGCAGCCAUCUGGCCUAAUACUGACGCUGAGGUACGAAAGCAUGGGGAGCAAACAGGAUUAGAUCCCCCGUAGUCCCUGUCUCUUAUACA